AUGAAUUAAUAAAAAUUUGAGUUAAAAAAAUUGUAAACUUAAUAUUUAAUAUUUAUUAGUAAAAUGAUAUAAACCAAAGAGAUAAAAUAUAUAAAUAUUUUGUGAUAUUAUAUAAAUAAAAUUAAUACUACAGUAAGACAUAUAAAUUUUAAAGUUAUAUGUAUAAAUGUUAUUGUAUAGAAAAAUAUUUUUUUAAGAGAUAAUUUAAAAAAAUUAUAAUUUAUUAUAAUAGAAAGUUUAUUUAUAUUUAUAAUUUGCUCAGAUUAGGAUUAUAACUUUUUAUUUAUAUUGAAAAACGUCUAAUUCAAAUUUUAGAAUCUAAAUGGACCCAAAUUAGGUAAAAAUAGCUGAUAAAUUACCAAAAUUUUCAAAAACAAUUUAGCAUACUCGGUAUGAAAAAUCCCUUUUCACAUUAAAAGAAAUUGUACCGAAAGUCUUAAGUUAAUUAUUUUUAAAUAUUUUGACUUGAAUAAAAUUUUACGAACGAGAUUCGUUUAUAUACAAUAUAAAAUAAAAGAUGAGGACUGCAAAUGCAAUUGGUAUGGAUUUUGACUUGCAAAAUGGGAACAAUAACUGAAAAGGAAAAUGAGGUCACUUUCAAAUUUCAACUCCUAUGAUAUUUUAAUAAUUAACCAUCCCAAUUGUCCUGAACUCGCUUCAGAAGCUGUAGCCAUACACGGGGAUUCGGUGUGCAAGCAAGUGGCACUCGCCAUAACUGGAGGCCCAACGUUGUCUCCUUCCUGUUUUAAAAUGCUUAACCAAACCAACUCGGACCACGCAAUUAAUUAAUCUGGGCCUUUGCGCUUUAGAGUUUAGACCCUUUUUGCUCACUGUCAAUGCUUCCCUCCCGGUGAUUGAGGUACAUCAGUUAAAAAUAUUGAAAUCUACACUUAACAGAAAAAGAAAUACUGUAUAUGCAAAAUGAAUCUCACCCACCUGUAUGGUAGCUUGCAUGAUUGGUUAAACAAUGGAUGGUAUAUGGUGAGAUCUUGUGGGCAUUACCAUACCAAGUGAAAAAAAACCGAAAAUAGUUUUCCCCAGCAACAUGAUUAGGCAAUUGACAUUUUGACAAGGGCGCCACUGCUGUUGCCUGUUGCUGGUGGUGCUGCUUUGGCUGGUUCUUGAAUUCCUUUUUUCUACGGUCAAAUAUAAUAAAGUAGCAGCAGCACCCAUAACUUUGCCAAAGCCUUUCUUCGUUUAUGCUUUUAAGGAUGAGAUGAGAUGCUCUGGUACGGUGUCUACCCACAUGUGAUUUUGAUUUCAUUUCGUUUCUCAUUUUUUCGCUUUAAUAAUGAUUCCUUUUGACUGAAGAACAGAGA
rnacentral:lncRNA from 1 species